rnacentral:misc_RNA from 1 species
AAGUCGUAACAAGGUUUCCGUAGGUGAACCUGCGGAAGGAUCAUUAGCGAAGCUCGGAAUGCGUGUUCGGUCUGAUGCUGCCCAGCAAUGGGAUGUGCUCGGCCGGAUGCGUGUCCCUUCUCUAUUCCACCCCUUUGUGAACCAAGUGUGCGAGCCGAAGAGAGAUUGGAGGCUCGCAUGCAACCCUUAACAUACCCCAGUGAAGUAUCAGAAUGUACCUUGCGUUAACUCGCACAAAUACAA